rnacentral:snRNA from 1 species
AGCUUUGCGCAGUGGCAGUAUCAUAGCCAAUGAAGUUUAUCUGAGGCACAGUUAUUGCUAAUUGAAAACUUUUCCCAAUAAAUC